AAGUGCAAACUUAAGAGCUCUCUUUUCUAAGCCUGUGCCUUUUCUUUCCUUUGGCACAGGCUUAGAAAAGACAAUCCUUAAGUUUAUACUU
ensembl:miRNA